rnacentral:rRNA from 1 species
AAAUUGAAGAGUUUGAUCAUGGCUCAGAUUGAACGCUGGCGGCAGGCCUAACACAUGCAAGUCGAGCGGUAGCACAGAGAGCUUGCUCUCGGGUGACGAGCGGCGGACGGGUGAGUAAUGUCUGGGAAACUGCCUGAUGGAGGGGGAUAACUACUGGAAACGGUAGCUAAUACCGCAUAACGUCGCAAGACCAAAGUGGGGGACCUUCGGGCCUCAUGCCAUCAGAUGUGCCCAGAUGGGAUUAGCUUGUAGGUG